rnacentral:rRNA from 1 species
CGCAAGCCUGACGGAGCAAGACCGCGUGGGGGAGGAAAGCCUUUGGGUUGUAAACCCCUUUUCUCAGGGAAGAAGAAAGUGACGGUACCUGAGGAAUCAGCCUCGGCUAACUCCGUGCCAGCAGCCGCGGUAAUACGGAGGAUGCAAGCGUUAUCCGGAAUUAUUGGGCGUAAAGCGUCCGCAGGUGGCUUGUCAAGUCCGCUGUCAAAGACUGGGGCUUAACUCCGGGCAGGCAGUGGAAACUGACAGGCUAGAGUGCAGGAGGGGUAGAGGGAAUUCCCAGUGUAGCGGUGAAAUGCGUAGAUAUUGGGAAGAACACCAGUGGCGAAGGCGCUCUACUGGGCCACAACCGACGCUGAGGGACGAAAGCUAGGGGAGCG